rnacentral:rRNA from 1 species
UACAGAGGGUGCGAGCGUUAAUCGGAAUUACUGGGCGUAAAGCGCACGUAGUCGGCUUUGCAAGUCGGUUGUGAAAUCCCCGGGCUCAACCUGGGAACUGCAUCCGAGACUGCAUUGCUAGAGUAUGGGAGAGGAAAGCGGAAUUUCUGGUGUAGCAGUGAAAUGCGUAGAUAUCAGAAGGAACAUCAGUGGCGAAGGCGGCUUCUGGACCAAUACUGACGAUCAGGUGGCGAAAGCCGUGGGGAGCAAACAGG